AACGAACGCUGGCGGCAUGCCUAACACAUGCAAGUCGAACGAGCCCUUCGGGUCCAGUGGCGCACGGGUGCGUAACGCGUGGGAACCUGCCCUUAGGUUCGGAAUAACUCCCCGAAAGGGGUGCUAAUACCGGAUAAUGUCUUCGGACCAAAGAUUUAUCGCCUUUGGAUGGGCCCGCGUUGGAUUAGCUAGUUGGUAGGGUAAUAGCCUACCAAGGCGACGAUCCAUAGCUGGUCUGAGAGGAUGAUCAGCCACACUGGGACUGAGACACGGCCCAGACUCCUACGGGAGGCAGCAGUGGGGAAUAUUGGACAAUGGGCGAAAGACUGAUCCAGCAAUGCCGCGUGAGUGAUGAAGGCCUUAGGGUUGUAAAGCUCUUUUACCCGGGAUGAUAAUGACGGUACCGGGAGAAUAAGCGCCGGCUAACUCCGUG
rnacentral:rRNA from 1 species